rnacentral:tRNA from 1 species
GAGCAGUCUGGUAGCUCGUCGGGCUCAUAACCCGAAGGUCGUUGGUUCAAAUCCAGCUCCCGCAACCA